AAGGAGUAUAGCGCUGCAUGCAGCAGGAAAUUUACAAUUAAAUUUUAAAGUCAGCUAGAAAUUGUUCGCUCUUCUCUCGACAAAUGAUGCUAUAUGCCUCGAAUCAACUGCUUUACACAUCCAAAAGACACUGCCAUUGGAUGAUUUUUAACGUUUUGAAAGCUGCAUUGCGGUGUGCCAUCACAUAACAAGAGCACGAGAUGGAUGUAAAUGACAAGUCAUAACAUAAAUAAGUGACGUACGUCAUGAUAUGCGUGACACAGUCUUGGUGCUCUCACAGUGGUUUCAUUAAUAUUUAUAUAGCAGGACGUGACAUGGAUGUGCAAUGAACACAGAUGACAGGUCAUAUAACACGAAAAUCUUGUCAUGCAUGUUACGUAUGCAUGAUGUACGUACAUUACACGGUCUUGGUGCUCACAGUUGUUUCAUUAAAGGUGCCCUCCAACACUUUUUCUGAAGCGCCUACAUUGGUGCUGACCGCAUCAACGCGUAGUGGCGCUCGCCAUAACUAUUGCGAGCGGAAAUGACGACACAGAGCGCUGGCCUGUGAUUGGAUAAAUGUAACGCUAGAAGUGAUGAUGGCGUUGCAUCAAAAAAGGAAUUGUUAUUGGGUUUCGUUUUUCUUUAGCAUGUUUUUCACUAAACGCCGAAUAGACUGACGCUUUUAGACUUUUUUUAGCUUUAAAACUGCAGCGCCGGGAAAAGAAUGCGCCGAACGCCACGGCGAUGGAGGAAACGCGCUGAAUAACUUUGGACUGCGCGCCCCUAUCGCUGCCGUUCUUGCUGCACUAAUAUCUUCAGCCUUCAGUCUGCGCAACCCGCGAGUAAAAAAUGUAAAACAUUGAGGUCUGGAAAAGUGUUACCAAAAUUGGUAGCGCAUGACAUGGGUGUCAACGAGCAUAAAUGACAGGUCAUACUAUGAAAAUCAUCUCAUGCAUAUCAUGUACGUCACGCAUGACAUGGCCCACGGUCGGUCUUGAGGCGCACGCUCGCUCCUUCCUUUACGGCCUGCGCAAAGGGGGCUGUUUCUACCUAUGGCCGCAACUUCGUGGGGACGCUCCGAGCCAACCCGCUCCCGGCCGUUGCGGAGGCUAGCGCGUGCAGGGAAUGCUUGGCUUCAGACUUACCGUGGCCCUUUCUCAAGUUACUCUAUAUGGUAUGCAUGGUACCAAUGCAAUAGAAACACGGUAGCAAGUAUAUAUGAUGACUCUGGUAAAUUCCGCUUUUCAGAAGCGGUGGCGCAGGCCGCUCAUACGCCCGCUUCUGCUGCUCGGCAGAGCAUCGACGCUGUUAUAACAAAGCCUUGUUUUAGUUUUCUGUAACUUCGAGAAUAAAUAAGAGGAUGAAUAUUGCAUUUGGCGCGCAUGUGCGACCGUGCGUCGCACCACAAGGCUCGGCCGCAUGAUACGUCACCGACCGGCGUAAGAAAUGACGCAAAACUUAUUCUUUGGGGAAAAUGGUUUAGGAAAUGUUUAAUUCAAACGCACAUGCCGGUCGUCGCUGUACUUGAAAAUAACAAAACUGCACAUUUUUUGUUGAAGGCAUCAUAAUUCCUGGUUUAAUAUUGAAAUAAAUACUUCAAAAAGGUGAAAGUCACUGCAUAAUGGCCAUGGCCACUGUCUUCAGCAAGUAGCUUUGAGUCGCAAUCACAGUAGCCGGAAUAAUAAUAAUAAUAAUAAUAAUAAUAAUAAUAAUAAUAAUAAUAAUAAUAAUAAUAAUAAUAAUAAUAAUAAUAAUAAUACAUUGUUCAAAAUAGAAAUAAACAUACAAGGUAAGAAUAUGACAUGAAAUAGCACGCACUCAUAUAGCCUCAAACAAGCACUAAAGUACACAAAAACAGAAUAAAAGCCCAAGUCGGACCACACUACGCUUAGUCCUUGCAUACAUACAGAAUCCCAAGCUCACGCGAUCCAGAUGCAGUCUUCUGUGCGCAUGUGAGAAUCUAAGAAGACUGGCCUCAAGCUUUUUCGCCUCCACCGUAUAUAAGGUGGUCGGGUCUUAAAAAUAAAGAUUGCUGUAGCUAGUAGCGCUGCGUGUGCGUCUUCUUUUGCCGAGUGCCGAGAAAGCCGCACUGUCCCCACACGCACCUGUACUUCCUUCACCGCUUCCUACAAACGGAGGAAGUAAUUAGCACGAGAAUUUGGCCGGGCACAGCUAGUUUACAAUACGAAGGGCAUGCGGCGCAACGCGCUUUGGGGGGUCGUUCCAGUGACUUUAUGGGGGGUUGGCUCGCGACGCCCUCACGCGGAGCGCACCGUCGUGCCUGUAUAGAAAAAGUUCCAUUGUACUUCCGCCGGCUGCUCAGGCCGUAAGCACGGGAGCGAGCGCGCGCCUCCAGACCGGCCGUGCAUGGCCUUGGUGCUCUCGCGGUGGUUUCAUUAGGUUGAGAAUUAUCAAAAUUGGCAGGACAAUGACGUGGGUGUAUGAAGAACACAAAUGACAGGUCAUUUAACAUGAAUAUCAUGUCAUAUGUACGUCAUCCCAUACAUGACACGGUCUUGGAGUUUCGCACCCGUUUUAUUCACUUGAUAUACACCACAAUUAUCAAUGCAUUAUAUGUGCAUGACAAAAAUAAAUUGCAGAUCAUGACUUAUAUGAUGUCAUUCAUUUGUGUAUGACAUACAUGACGUACCCGGUCAUGGCGCUCUUCCAGCAGUUUGAUUACCUUGAUGCAAACCAAGCUGUCAUGAGAGGGCAUUAGUGCAUGACCAGCAUGACCAGCAACCCAUGACACGAAUAGCAUACAAUACAGUACAGGUUUAUUGCCAGAAAUGCUAAGGUUCUCGGAAAUACUGUUGGCUAAAAGCUGUUGGAAAAACAGCUUGAUUGGGCUGAUGGUUUAUGACAAGGCAUAUAUGGUGGUUGCAAAGAAAUAGUAACGUUGUUAGAGACUCAAAAUAAAUUAUUUACACAAAUGCACAAAAGAAGACCAAAAUAAUACGAAGAUGAAAACAUAUUGGAUACAUCAGAAGAAA
rnacentral:lncRNA from 1 species